GUGAAUCAUCAAAUUUUUGAACGCAAAUUGCACUCCCUGGUAUUCCGGGGAGUAUGCCUGUUUGAGGGUCGUUAGAACAAAAAUCGAAGCGUCGCUCUUUUUUUUUAAAGGUUGUUUCGUCGGAAUUUGCUCUUCUUUUAAAUUGUAAUUCAAUUUAAAUUUGUUUUGAAUUUUAUCAUUCCGUAAGUUUUAAUCUUU
rnacentral:misc_RNA from 1 species